CCUCUGGUGCUCUAGGGAAAGAGCAUUGGACAAAUACAUGCUGGAUAAUUCCAUCAUUCUAACUUUUCUGCCUCUCGGCGGCAGAAUUCCGUUGUGUUUACUUUUUCAGAAGAACUCCGAGGGACAUGAAGACCACCUAAUCCAUGAUCAAACUGGUAAUACUUUUCUGCAUCCUACCACAACCCCAUGGCCAGAAACCAGCUGAGUGACCGUGGUCUGAACUAAUUGUGGUAGCAUGCAGAAAAAGUGAAAGGAUCUCUUUAAGCGCAAAAAGGUCUGCACGCACCCAAGCGUACAGGAUUGUUGGCACAAUUUUACACUAACACAGACUGCAGAAGUGGUUUGUUUAUGGGGAAAAAACACCAAAGGGCUUUCUUUUAAGUUUAUAAUAAAUGCUGUAGCUCAAUCUACUACGGUUUAUACCACCACCACUACCACCACUCGAGCCCAGCCACCAGUUAUGCUUACCCCGAAAAUUUUUGAAGUUGGACCAUAUGUAAUCAGGAAAACUGGCCAACAACAGAUAUUAUUUGAUCCGGCAUGGUCUCUUAAACAAGUCAAAUUGCUGAUGCAAAACAAUGUCUCAGAAAUACAACCAGCUUGUUCACCCUUUUUGCAAACCUCUUUUCAGGCUUGGACAACCUGGCUGCGACAGUGGAACCCUCCUAAAAAACGGGUGCCAAGAGACAUAACUGGUGUUGUGGGAACAGAAUUGGGAAUCAAUUCAGAGCUCCAGUUACCUUACAUGAACUUUUAGAAUCCAAUCUCAUGUUGAUUCACAAGCUACUGCCUACUCCCAUUGGGAUGAACCUUACUUUGGUAAAGCAACCAUUACUUCAUCAAGAUCUAAUAGAGAUCCUAGGAAAAAUCAAGGAGAAUGGACAGAAAACUCUGGUAACUGUUCAUCAUGAUGUGCAAGAAAUACAUCGUGUUGUAGAAAGGGUGGAAAGUGAUGCCGAGCACAAGUGCUGGGAUACCCUUUUCGGGUGGUCACCCACCGCCACGGGUAUCCUGAACAAAUUGUGCCAUCCCGUUGUUGUUCUUCUGAUUUUAGUUAUGAUUGGUUUUGUUUUAUCAGUAAUCUUGCUUAUUGUAAAUUGGAGAAUGAUGAAACGAUGAACAAAAUUAACAUCUAUAAUUAAUGCACACCACUUGGCCAACAUCCUUUACACUAUAGAUGUUCCCAGGACUGUAGACACAAGAAGAUUAUAGGGUUGGUAGAUAUGUUUUACAUCAUUUUCUUUUAUGAUUUGUUUUAAUCACUGUUUUAAUUAUUUUUGUUUCUUGAUUAUAAAAUUAUACUGAGUAAUAUCGAUGACACUAGGUUUAUUACUUUACUGCUUAAUAUUGAUUAUACUGGUUUAUUAUUUGAUCAAUUUAUUGUUUAAUUGAUUAAUAUUGAUUAUUAUUUAAACAAACUAUUGCUGAUUUAAUUCUUGUCUUAGUUUUCCUGUUUUCUCUUUCCUUUCCUUUUUCUCUUCCCUUUUCCCUGGAAUGUGCUGCCAACACUUGAUGAGUCCUGAAGACUCCACGACGACACCAUGGAACCCUGCUGAUGAAGAUCUUUCGAGGGCAAUCGUCACUCACGGGGUGGUGUAAGAGCCCGUCUGAAGCCCCUCAUUUUCCAUUCUGCCUUCCGAUUGCCACAAGAAAGAAUCCCUUCCUCCACUGCAGUUCCGGCUUAGAACAGGACACAGUGCAGGUGCAACCACUGAACCGUCAUGCUGGCUGAUCCCAACAAGGCCUGUGAUUCAAAUGGACUUAUUCUUCAUUGGAUUCGUCUUGCUUUGGUGGUUUCUGUGGACUCACCUGUUCCCGCGUGGCGAUUACAAUGGACUUUCGUUGUUACACUUGCUCCCCCCUCUUUCCUCUGUGGACUAUAACUGGAGCCCCGAGUCGACCAGAACUUCGGAGACUGCCCCGACACGACAGACGGAACCCCAUCGUCCGGACCACUGAGGAUCUCGCCUGUGUUGGUAGCUAUUCCCAUACCCCUCUUCUCUCUCUCUCUCUCCUUUUAUCUCCUUUCCGAUCCCCACUAUCGCAUUUACUG